rnacentral:lncRNA from 1 species
ACUUGAGUUAUCAUUGGUCUAUAUACAUCUAUAUGUACUAGGGCUAACAACUCAUUCGCCCUCUCUCCAUGUUCAAAAAAUAGAGUUUUGGUCAUCUUACCCAUGAGACAAGAUUCACAAGUUCUCAAUGAUUCAUAAUCAUAUAGGUCAAAUUUUUUUUUGUAUAACUUGUUUAUCCUUGAUUCAUUAAUAUGACCAAGA